ACCGUACCGUACCGGGCCGGGCUGUACCGUACCGUACCGGGCCGUACCGUACCGGGCCGUGCCGCGGGGCCCCCGGCGGAGCGGCGCGGAGAGGAGCCCUCCCCGCACCUCUCCGCCGGGGCCACCCCCGGUCGGCGCGUCCCGAUCCCCCACUUCCCCGCAAGCAGGAGGAGGCGGGGCAAUAGCUCCCUCAGCUUUACUUCCCAAGAAGACCCAUGCGGAGCAGGGGGAUUCACUGCUCUCACAGGGGCAAGAUAACAAGGCUCCAUGGAGAAGAAGACCACAUCAAAAAUCACAUCAUCAACCAAGAGGACAAGAACUGCCAGUCUUGUGACAACCACAGUUUGUCACUAAUGAAUGCUCUGUUGGGAGGUCUACAAGGGGCAGCCCUGAACUCCAGCUAAUACUGCAAGUUGGAGCCUGACUGAGCUUAUUCAGACAUCUGUGUCUCUGCGCUGCACCUCCCAGUAUGCCUGACUUUGAGAUGUUUGACCAGCAAGAAGCCAGCUAGCAUCCAGCUGGGCCCACAGUUCAGGCUCAGAGCAUCUGUCUACUUCAGAUGAGCUGUCCCUCAAAGCAGAACAGCUGUACUCCUGUGACUGUCAUCUCAACUAAAGUGCCUGCACAGACACACUGCAAGCCAAACCAGCAGUCAAUAACAGAGACAACUGUAAACAGCAUUUCAUCUCAACUCCCUAUUGCCACAUAUUCUGACAUAUACAUCCCUAAAAAGAACUGGCCUCAGGCUACAUUAUGGGAUUUAGGUCCCAUUUCUGGUUGUGUCUAUACUCACUGUACAGAAAUAAUAGGCUCUCAUGGCUUUUCUGGAAGACGUGUAUGUCACAAAAUGUCUGUUUCCUCCUACAGAUCUAAGAGCAACUUCCCAGGCAAAGUGAGAGAAUACAUAAAUAGAAAUGAAAUACUGUAUUGGGCUUCAGAACACCUUCAUUGAAGGAGUGGGCAGGAGGCAGCAGAUUCCUUCCUACUGCUUCUCCAAGAUGUCACACUAAACUCCUGGUUAAUGUCCUGCAGUCCUACAGUAUGAGCACAAGGCCACAUCUAAUGACCAGAGGAAAAUAUGAUAUUCCAACAUCAAAACACAUCAGGAAAUACUUUGCUGAUUUUUGUAUUUGAAAGAAUUAAGGAGCUGUAGAAUUAAGCUUUGAAAGCCUAGAUUUAUGCUCUGCUCCUCUUCAACCACCCUGAAGUCAUAACUACCAACACCAGAGAAAUAACUAUCAACUUUAUAGGACUAAAAAGUUUCAGUCAUGAACUUAGUUCUGUAACUGUUGAAUGAUAGUCACUGUUCAAGUGAAGCUGCUCAUGUGCAUAAAGAUUUUCAUAUGGGUACAUUUUGCAGAAUCCAAUUUUUUGAGGCAUCCUAGUGAAUAGCAUCUCCUGCUAAAAUCCUUUUAAGCAGCUGUGUGAAUGGAUGUUAACAUGAUUGGAAGAAAAUUCCUCCAUGAAUUAUCUUCAGCCUUCUACAAAACACAAAUGCUAUUACAAGAAGAUAGUGAAAAUGUGUAAUUAGACCUAGAGCUGCAGGUGAUAUGCACUGAGAAACAUUUGGAUAUCUUUCUAGAGAAUGCAUCAUGAUCACUGUUGCCUUCCUGGGGGAAAAGGUGAUUCUUGCAAAAUAAUUGUAAAUACAACAAUCUUAGAGUUACUGUUGCUUACAUUACUGUGAUUCUCCCGCAUGAGUUUUGAAAAUAUGCAAUAUUCAACUCAGUUAUAGAAAUUUCCCUUUAGAUGGCAAUCUUUAAGGGAUUUCAAGGGAAGAGAGGGUUUUUGAAGUCUGUAAUUACAGACAUGAAACACAUUUUGCCACACAGCCCUUCCUUAGCUGUGCUGCUUAAUUUCAAGGCUCAAUGCUGCUAUUAUCAACUAAAUUGCAUACUGUAUCCAUAAUAAAACCAAAUAGGUUCUUCUGGACUGGAGAUACUUAAGCAUAUUAAAAUUAUCUAGUGUCUUUGCUCUCAUUAUACCUACAUGGCUCCCUUAGGCCCCCAAGUAACAAGAAGACAGAAGGCCUAAUGUCUGAUAUUCCUGUGAGUUAAUCCUGCUUACAGCACCUGUAUCCCUACCUAUCCCUCUGUAAACCUGAGAGAGCUGCACUGAGAACAGUGUGAUAAAUACGUGUGUGUGUAUUUGUGUGAUUGACAGGCAUUUUUCCUUUGUCAUAAUACCUAACACAAUUUACAAUUUACAAAUACAUUUUGUGCUUAGACAAGUAAGUGUUGCUGUUUCUGACCUGCUGCCCAGAGCUCCAUGGCAAAAAAAAAAAAAAUUGUCAAAAGAAUUAUCCACUGAACAACAGUUUUGAUAUACUGCAGUUGACAGCACAUUAAUUGUCUUCAGUUCCUCUACUGAACUUAGUCACUUAUUUUUGCUUAUAUACAUAAGGAUCCUCAAUAAUUAUAAUAAAUCCUUGAAACCCUUA